rnacentral:rRNA from 1 species
GACGAACGCUGGCGGCGUGCUUAACACAUGCAAGUCGAACGGAAAGGCCCUGCUUUUGUGGUGUGCUCGAGUGGCGAACGGGUGAGUAACACGUGAGUAACCUGCCCUUGACUUUGGGAUAACUUCAGGAAACUGGGGCUAAUACCGGAUAGGAGCUCCUGCUGCAUGGUGGGGGUUGGAAAGUUUCGGCGGUUGGGGAUGGACUCGCGGCUUAUCAGCUUGUUGGUGGGGUAGUGGCUUACCAAGGCUUUGACGGGUAGCCGGCCUGAGAGGGUGAACGGCCACAUUGGGACUGAGAGACGGCGCAGACUCCUACGGGAGGCAGCAGGGGGGAAUAUUGCACAAUGGGCGGAAGCCUGAUGCAGCAACGCCGCGUGCGGGAUGACGGCCUUCGGGUUGUAAACCGCUUUCGCCUGUGACGAAGCGUGAGUGACGGUAAUGGGUAAAGAAGCACCGGCUAACUACGUG